rnacentral:misc_RNA from 1 species
CGGGGUGGCUUUUCAAACCGUGGAGGUGAUGGAUAUCGUAGGACUGAUAAGAUGGGUAACAAUGGUGGCCGUGCAAAUCGUGCUGGUGGGUUGGCUCUUAACGCUGCAGCUAAAACAACAGCACCACCACGGGUAUCUGCUACUGCUUGAAGAUCUGUAGCAUGGAAGAAGGUUGUUUGGAAGAGAUCACAGAUAGUUUUGUGUUCAUUAGUGCAGUGAUUUAUCAGGAGUGAUUUAAUAGUGCUGAAGGAGAAUGAUACACUUCUACAAAUGAGCUUCAUGAAAUUUUUGUUGAGGAUUUCCUUCUUGACAUUUUUUCCAUUUUUCCUCGGUAAAGAGGCCUUUUUUGGUGGAUAGUAGUAAAGUUUUGUCUGGUAUACUAAUUUCAUGUCUGGUUCGCAAUGAUAGUUCUGAGUCCACUUUUCAGUAACCUUUAAUGAAUAUAUUGUCUGGGAUUUGAUGCUUGAAUAUGGUUUAAUAGUUUCAAUUAAGCUAUUGUUCAUGCACGGAUUGGAUUUGUUGCCUUGAAUAGUUCCUGUUAUUGUUGAAAUUUUGUUGUUUCAGUCUUAUAUUUGAUCCGUGCCAUGGCUUUUUUGUGCCUGUUCUCGGGGGUUGUCAUGGACUUGGGCUAGCCUGGCUUGUUUGUUUUAUUUGAAAAUAACUUGUGCAUAAAAUACAAGUAAUUUAUUGUGUGUUGUAUAAUAUAAAACAUAUAUAUUUUAAC